rnacentral:rRNA from 1 species
AGUGAGUGGCGAACUGGUGAGUAACACGUGGGAAACCUGCCCAGAAGCGGGGGAUAACACCUGGAAACAGAUGCUAAUACCGCAUAACAACUUGGACCGCAUGGUCCGAGCUUGAAAGAUGGCUUCGGCUAUCACUUUUGGAUGGUCCCGCGGCGUAUUAGCUAGAUGGUGGGGUAACGGCUCACCAUGGCAAUGAUACGUAGCCGACCUGAGAGGGUAAUCGGCCACAUUGGGACUGAGACACGGCCCAAACUCCUACGGGAGGCAGCAGUAGGGAAUCUUCCACAAUGGACGAAAGUCUGAUGGAGCAACGCCGCGUGAGUGAAGAAGGGUUUCGGCUCGUAAAACUCUGUUGUUAAAGAAGAACAUAUCUGAGAGUAACUGUUCAGGUAUUGACGGUAUUUAACCAGAAAGCCACGG